AACGAACGCUGGCGGCAAGCUUAACACAUGCAAGUCGAGCGGAUGUAGCAAUACAUUAGCGGCGGACGGGUGCGUAACACGUGGGAAUGUGCUCUUGGGUGGGGAAUAACGCAGGGAAACUUGCGCUAAUACCGCAUAAUGUCUUCGGACCAAAGAUUUAUCGCCCAAGAAUCAGCCCGCGGCAGAUUAGCUAGUUGGUG
rnacentral:rRNA from 1 species